rnacentral:rRNA from 1 species
UACGUAGGGGGCGAGCGUUAUCCGGAUUUACUGGGUGUAAAGGGAGCGUAGACGGCGAUGCAAGCCAGAUGUGAAAGCCCGGGGCUCAACCCCGGGACUGCAUUUGGAACUGUAUAGCUAGAGUGUCGGAGAGGCAGGCGGAAUUCCUAGUGUAGCGGUGAAAUGCGUAGAUAUUAGGAGGAACACCAGUGGCGAAGGCGGCCUGCUGGACGAUGACUGACGUUGAGGCUCGAAAGCGUGGGGAGCAAACAGG